UACGUAGGGUGCAAGCGUUGUCCGGAAUUAUUGGGCGUAAAGAGCUCGUAGGCGGUUUGUCGCGUCGGCUGUGAAAACCUGGGGCUCAACCCCGGGCCUGCAGCCGAUACGGGCAAGCUAGAGUUCGGUAGGGGAGACUGGAAUUCCUGGUGUAGCGGUGAAAUGCGCAGAUAUCAGGAGGAACACCGGUGGCGAAGGCGGGUCUCUGGGCCGAUACUGUCGCUGAGGAGCGAAAGCGUGGGGAGCAAACAGG
rnacentral:rRNA from 1 species